GGUCGGAAAUCGUGCCAAGAGUAUAAAGGCAAAAGUGCGCUUGACUGCGAGAGUGACGGCUCGAGCAGGUACGAAAGUAGGUCUUAGUGAUCCGGUGGUCCCGAAUGGAAGGGUCAUCGCUCAACGGAUAAAAGGUACUCCGGGGAUAACAGGCUAAUUCCUCCCAAGAGUUCAUAUCGACGGAGGAGUUUGGCACCUCGAUGUCGGCUCAUCACAUCCUGGGGCUGAAGUAGGUCCCAAGGGUAUGGCUGUUCGCCAUUUAAAGUGGUACGCGAGCUGGGUUCAGAACGUCGUGAGACAGUUCGGUCCCUAUCUGCCGUGGGCGUUAGAGAUUUGAGAAGAGUUGCUCCUAGUACGAGAGGACCGGAGUGAACGAACCACUGGCGUUCCGGUUGUUUCGCCAGAAGCAUUGCCGGGUAGCUACGUUUGGACGGGAUAAACGCUGAAAGCAUCUAAGCGUGAAGCCUCCUUCAAGAUUAGAUCUCUCUGAUGAAAAUCAGUAAGGAACGUUGGAGACUACGACGUUGAUAGGCUGGGUGUGGAAGUACAGCAAUGUAUGAAGCUUACCAGUACUAAUGA
rnacentral:rRNA from 1 species